rnacentral:lncRNA from 1 species
AGAUUUGUGAGCUUUAAAAAUUUACAUGCAUGAAUCGGAGGUUAAAGGGGGAUGUUGAAAACUGGAACAAUUAUGAUAGUGAAAUUAUUAUUUGAAUGAUAUAGAACUUGUGUCUUGUGGUAUGUUGCAACAACUUGAACAAGAAGAUAAUGAUGGUUGCUCAAAAUGAUUUUAAAGUAUGUCCGAACACACUAAGCUUUAAGUUCAAUGUCACCACGUUUAUACGUAAACUUGAUGCAAUAGGCAUAACCAUG